rnacentral:lncRNA from 1 species
UACGCGCCACUGCCACUACCGGCAUGUGGAACCAAGCACCGUCGUCGUUGAGACAAAAAUAGGUGGAUCGGGAUCUGCUCCUUCUUCUUAUUCUUCCUGUGUUGGCGGUGAGAGCUACCAGCACCUGCAAAACCAAGGAAAAUCCACAAACAAAAACAAUUUCAUCUCUUCUCCUCAGAUCUGUAUUUAUCAUUUUGGGAGGAAAGACUAACUUAUGAAGACCAAGGGCUCAGGGUUGAUGUCAACAUGAUUAACACUGGUGUGUUGUUUUCGAGUUGAAGGAACUAUUGUUGUAGAGGCUGUGGUGUUGGUUUACACAAUAAAAAGGAUUAAUGGCCUUUGUUUUAUGGAGAAAUGAGGGGGCUAUCGGUUUUGGGUUUGAAAAUAAAGGAAGGAAGGAGGCAGCGCUAGUUAGUGGGUGUCGUUGGUCCACAAUCGGGUUGGAGAGGAAGAGAUUACUGCUAUAAAUGUGGUCUUACUGUCUACCAGUGUUCGAGGGAGGAGAAAAAAAUUGCUGGCUUUAACAAAAUGAAGGAGAAGAGUUGAAGAUGAGUUUCAGCCGUGUGUGGGUUGGUAGUGUAGAAAAGGUGGUCGCUGGUGUUGUUGGAUGGUUUGUCACAAGGAAGAGGGAACCGUUGAUGAUGGAGCUGUUAGGUGGUGCUGUUGUGGAUCAGAGCUGGGAACCAAGAGGUCACGAUGGUAGGGGGGAUGAUGCUCGGUUAUUGGAAGAUGAAGGGGAGUUAAUUAUUUGAGUGUUUUUUUUUUCACCUUCUCUUCAUAAGGGAUUAUGGGUUUGUUUUUUUCAAAGAGGGGGAGACAAAUUUUGUGUGCUGGUGGUUAUGGGUUUGUGUAUGUUGACAGUAAAAGUGGCAAUUGACGUUGUAAAAAAAGGAACGUGGAAUGUUUUUAGGCAUUUUUUGGCAUUUUCUUC